rnacentral:rRNA from 1 species
ACGCUCGACACCUACGGGAGGUAGCAGUGGGGAAUAUUGCACAAUGGGGGAAACCCUGAUGCAGCGACGCCGCGUGAGUGAAGAAGUAUUUCGGUAUGUAAAGCUCUAUCAGCAGGGAAGAAAAUGACGGUACCUGAGUAAGAAGCCCCGGCUAACUACGUGCCAGCGGCCGCGGUAAUCUGAGGCGGGCUGGCAAGGC